UACGAAGGGGGCUAGCGUUGCUCGGAAUCACUGGGCGUAAAGAGCUCGUAGGCGGUCUGUCGCGUCGGAUGUGAAAAUCCAGGGCUCAACCCUGGACCUGCAUUCGAUACGGGCAGACUAGAGUUCGGUAGGGGAGACUGGAAUUCCUGGUGUAGCGGUGAAAUGCGCAGAUAUCAGGAGGAACACCAAUUGCGAAGGCAGCUCGCUGGGACGUUACUGACGCUGAGACGCGAAAGCGUGGGGAGCAAACAGG
rnacentral:rRNA from 1 species